rnacentral:rRNA from 1 species
UAAGGAAUAUUGGUCAAUGGGCGAAAGCCUGAACCAGCCAUCCAGCGUGCAGGAAGAAGGCCCUAUGGGUUGUAAACUGCUUUUAUCAGGGAAGAAACCUCUGGAUUCACUCCGGAGCUGACGGUACCUGAAGAAUAAGCACCGGCUAACUCCGUGCCAGCAGCCGCGGUAAUACGGAGGGUGCGAGCGUUAUCCGGAAUUACUGGGUUUAAAGGGUGCGUAGGCGGCUUUGUAAGUCAGGAGUGAAAGUUUGCGGCUCAACCGUAAAAUUGCUUUUGAUACUGCAGAGCUAGAAUCAGGAUGAGGUUAGCGGAAUGUGGCAUGUAGCGGUGAAAUGCAUAGAUAUGCCAUAGAACACCAAUUGCGAAGGCAGCUGGCUAGACCUGCAUUGACGCUGAGGCACGAAAGCGUGGGGAGCGAACAGG